rnacentral:rRNA from 1 species
GAUGAACGCUGGCGGCGUGCCUAAUACAUGCAAGUCGAGCGAACAGACGAGGAGCUUGCUCCUCUGACGUUAGCGGCGGACGGGUGAGUAACACGUGGAUAACCUACCUAUAAGACUGGGAUAACUUCGGGAAACCGGAGCUAAUACCGGAUAAUUUAUUGAACCGCAUGGUUCAAUAGUGAAAGACGGUUUUGCUGUCACUUAUAGAUGGAUCCGCGCCGCAUUAGCUAGUUGGUAAGGUAACGGCUUACCAAGGCAACGAUGCGUAGCCGACCUGAGAGGGUGAUCGGCCACACUGGAACUGAGACACGGUCCAGACUCCUACGGGAGGCAGCAGUAGGGAAUCUUCCGCAAUGGGCGAAAGCUUGACGGAGCAACGCCGCGUGAGUGAUGAAGGUCUUCGGAUCGUAAAACUCUGUUAUUAGGGAAGAACAAAUGUGUAAGUAACUAUGCACGUCUUGACGGUACCUAAUCAGAAAGCCACGGCUAACUACGUG